CCGGGCGGCCGUGGCGGCGGGGUCCCGCCUCUUCCCAUUCCGAACAGAGAAGCUAAGCCCGCCAGCGCCGAUGGUACUGCAGUGCAAUGCGGGAGAGUAGGCCGCCGCCCCCU
rnacentral:rRNA from 1 species